rnacentral:rRNA from 1 species
GAACGCUAGCGGGAGGCCUAAUACAUGCAAGUCGAACGGUAACAGGGGACUUCGGUCCUGCUGACGAGUGGCGCACGGGUGAGUAACGCGUACACGACUUACCUCUGACUGGGGGAUAGCCCUGGGAAACCGGGAGUAAUACCCCAUGGUCCUUGGAUUUUCGGAUUUAAGGUAAAGCUAUGGCGGUCAGAGAUGGGUGUGCGUCCCAUUAGCUAGUUGGUGAGGUAACGGCUCACCAAGGCGACGAUGGGUAGGGGGCGUGAGAGCGUGGCCCCCCACACGGGUACUGAGACACGGACCCGACUCCUACGGGAGGCAGCAGUAAGGAAUAUUGGACAAUGGGCGCAAGCCUGAUCCAGCCAUCCCGCGUGCAGGAAGACGGCCCUACGGGUUGUAAACUGCUUUUAUAAAGGAAGAAAAGACCGGGUUUACCUGGUCCUGACGGUACUUUAGGAAUAAGCACCGGCUAACUCCGUGCCAGCAGCCGCGGUAAU